UACGGAGGAUCCGAGCGUUAUCCGGAAUCAUUGGGUUUAAAGGGUCCGUAGGUGGACGGUUAAGUCAGAGGUGAAAUCCUGCAGCUCAACUGUAGAAUUGCCUUUGAUACUGGCCGUCUUGAGUCAUUGUGAAGUAGUUGGAAUAUGUAGUGUAGCGGUGAAAUGCAUAGAUAUUACAUAGAACACCGAUUGCGAAGGCAGAUUACUAACAAUGCACUGACACUGAUGGACGAAAGCGUGGGGAGCGAACAGG
rnacentral:rRNA from 1 species